rnacentral:lncRNA from 1 species
CUUCACAGAUCAUUAAUCAACAUAAAUUCAGUGAAUUAGAAUUCUUUCUUCAAAAGUAUGUGUCAACUUCAGAUUGCAGAUUUGCCAAAGCUUCAUGUAGAGCCCUUCUCUCUUUUAUCACGAGUAAAAGUUCAGGUUUAAAAUAGAACAACGGAUGACUAAUGCCAUUUCCAGCUGUGACUGAAUUCUCCACUGCCUGAUGCUUUUCAAAUGUAUCUGAAUCAGAAUCAACACCCACUUUAUGCAUAGCUCCCUAAUCAGGAAGUUAUUCUUCCCAUCAAAGCAACUGGAAAGAAAAAAGAUAAAACAAUGAAGGGAAGAGAAAACACAAAAGUUCAAGAAGAGCAGAAUGUUCCGGCAAGGAGAAAAAGCUGGGAAAAGUCACCAAUGAAUGACAGGGUUCACCACCAUCUUAGGAAUAUCAUGAAUAAAGUGUUACAUUGGGCGUGCCCUAACUGCUGGUCACAGGCAUGAUACUAAUUAUCAGGGUGAACAAAGCAGGGGAGUAAGAACAUCAGUAACUGUGAAACUCUAGGAGUUUGUCUUCAUUCCUUCAGUGAUAGGUACUGAGUGUUUCCCAUGUGUCAUACCCUAUGCCAGGUGCUGGGGAUGCAAUGGUAAAGGAACAGACCUGGCAAUAUUCCUCAUGGAGCUUGUGGUCUAGGACUGAAUGGGUCCUGUCAAUUUCAAAUAACAGCCAUGCUUGUUAUAAAUGAUGAUAGAUUUUCUACUCAAAAGAAACAAAUGUAGUUUAUUUCCACUUCUGUGGCUUCUAGAACUUUUUCCAUAAUGUAACCCUGAAGGAGAGCAUUAUAUUCAAAUUG